GUUUCCCUCCUUUAUUCAGUGCCAUAAAAAUGGAAGCCUAGCAUACGGCUUGCCAUCAUCUUGACGUUCCCCCAUACACAUUUUAAAAGACAAACUCUUGUGUUUAGGUUUGUGCCAGAUAUCAACGUCUCUUGUCCGACAGCACUGUCAAGCGUCAGGAACCAAAGUCUAGUGUCAACCAUCAAAGUCUAGUGUCAACCAUCAAAGUCUGGUGUCAACCAUCAAAGUCUAGUGUCAACCAUCAAAGUCUUGUGUCGACCAUCAAAGUCUAGUGUCAACCAUCAAAGCCUAGUGUCACCAUGGAACCAGAACCUUGUCUGAUUUUCACAGAACAAGUCAAAUACUAUGACAACCCCAUGGAAUGGCCGGCAUUGCAGCCCAUUCCCUACAAUGUCCAGUCUGGUCAACUGACUUGGCAGUGGCUGGAGUCUGGACGACUCAGAAGGCUAGGAAUACCUCACCGUGAGUCUAAGCACUGUAACAUCGUAUACAACAGUCAAGUGGCCAGUCUGAACAAAGUAAGUUAAAUUUACAACAGUCAAGUGG
rnacentral:sRNA from 1 species